rnacentral:piRNA from 1 species
UGGAAGAACUGGGUGCAGGCUUGAU